rnacentral:piRNA from 1 species
UUUUAGUCUCUGUGGUACUGCUUAUA